GGUUAAGCGACUAAGCGUACACGGUGGAUGCCCUGGCAGUCAGAGGCGAUGAAGGGCGUGCUAAUCUGCGAUAAGCGCCGGUAAGGUGAUAUGAACCGUUAUAACCGGCGAUACCCGAAUGGGGAAACCCAGUGUGAUUCGUCACACUAUCAUUAACUGAAUCCAUAGGUUAAUGAGGCGAACCGGGGGAACUGAAACAUCUAAGUACCCCGAGGAAAAGAAAUCAACCGAGAUUCCCCCAGUAGCGGCGAGCGAACGGGGAGGAGCCCAGAGCCUGAAUCAGCAUGUGUGUUAGUGGAAGCGUCUGGAAAGGCGCGCGAUACAGGGUGACAGCCCCGUACACAAAAGCGCAUGUGCUGUGAGCUCGAUGAGUAGGGCGGGACACGUGGUAUCCUGUCUGAAUAUGGGGGGACCAUCCUCCAAGGCUAAAUACUCCUGACUGACCGAUAGUGAACCAGUACCGUGAGGGAAAGGCGAAAAGAACCCCGGCGAGGGGAGUGAAAAAGAACCUGAAACCGUGUACGUACAAGCAGUGGGAGCACAGGUUUACCUGUGUGACUGCGUACCUUUUGUAUAAUGGGUCAGCGACUUAUAUUCUGUAGCAAGGUUAACCGUAUAGGGGAGCCGGAGGGAAACCGAGUCUUAAUUGGGCGUUAAGUUGCAGGGUAUAGACCCGAAACCCGGUGAUCUAGCCAUGGGCAGGUUGAAGGUUGGGUAACACUAACUGGAGGACCGAACCGACUAAUGUUGAAAAAUUAGCGGAUGACCUGUGGCUGGGGGUGAAAGGCCAAUCAAACCGGGAGAUAGCUGGUUCUCCCCGAAAGCUAUUUAGGUAGCGCCUCGUGAAUUCAUCUCCGGGGGUAGAGCACUGUUUCGGCUAGGGGGCCAUCCCGGCUUACCAACCCGAUGCAAACUGCGAAUACCGGAGAAUGUUAUCACGGGAGACACACGGCGGGUGCUAACGUCCGUCGUGAAGAGGGAAACAACCCAGACCGCCAGCUAAGGUCCCAAAGUCAUGGUUAAGUGGGAAACGAUGUGGGAAGGCCCAGACAGCCAGGAUGUUGGCUUAGAAGCAGCCAUCAUUUAAAGAAAGCGUAAUAGCUCACUGGUCGAGUCGGCCUGCGCGGAAGAUGUAACGGGGCUAAACCAUGCACCGAAGCUGCGGCAGCGAACGUAUCACCCAAGACAACUUUACGGAGUUGACGAUUGACGGAGCGAAGCGACGUCAAAGCGUUCAUUAAAGUCGAGUUGGCUUAGGGAUACGUUCGUUGGGUAGGGGAGCGUUCUGUAAGCCUGUGAAGGUGUGUCGUGAGGCAUGCUGGAGGUAUCAGAAGUGCGAAUGCUGACAUAAGUAACGAUAAAGCGGGUGAAAAGCCCGCUCGCCGGAAGACCAAGGGUUCCUGUCCAACGUUAAUCGGGGCAGGGUGAGUCGACCCCUAAGGCGAGGCCGAAAGGCGUAGUCGAUGGGAAACGGGUUAAUAUUCCCGUACUUGGUGUUACUGCGAAGGGGGGACGGAGAAGGCUAUGUUGGCCGGGCGACGGUUGUCCCGGUUUAAGCGUGUAGGUGUGUGUUCCAGGUAAAUCCGGUUCACUUUAACACUGAGGCGUGACGACGAGGCACUACGGUGCUGAAGCAACAAAUGCCCUGCUUCCAGGAAAAGCCUCUAAGCAUCAGGUAACACGAAAUCGUACCCCAAACCGACACAGGUGGUCAGGUAGAGAAUACCAAGGCGCUUGAGAGAACUCGGGUGAAGGAACUAGGCAAAAUGGUGCCGUAACUUCGGGAGAAGGCACGCUGACACGUAGGUGAAGUGAUUUACUCAUGGAGCUGAAGUCAGUCGAAGAUACCAGCUGGCUGCAACUGUUUAUUAAAAACACAGCACUGUGCAAACACGAAAGUGGACGUAUACGGUGUGACGCCUGCCCGGUGCCGGAAGGUUAAUUGAUGGGGUCAGCGCAAGCGAAGCUCCUGAUCGAAGCCCCGGUAAACGGCGGCCGUAACUAUAACGGUCCUAAGGUAGCGAAAUUCCUUGUCGGGUAAGUUCCGACCUGCACGAAUGGCGUAAUGAUGGCCAGGCUGUCUCCACCCGAGACUCAGUGAAAUUGAACUCGCUGUGAAGAUGCAGUGUACCCGCGGCAAGACGGAAAGACCCCGUGAACCUUUACUAUAGCUUGACACUGAACAUUGAGCCUUGAUGUGUAGGAUAGGUGGGAGGCUUUGAAGUGUGGACGCCAGUCUGCAUGGAGCCGACCUUGAAAUACCACCCUUUAAUGUUUGAUGUUCUAACGUGGACCCGUAAUCCGGGUUGCGGACAGUGUCUGGUGGGUAGUUUGACUGGGGCGGUCUCCUCCUAAAGAGUAACGGAGGAGCACGAAGGUUGGCUAAUCCUGGUCGGACAUCAGGAGGUUAGUGCAAUGGCAUAAGCCAGCUUGACUGCGAGCGUGACGGCGCGAGCAGGUGCGAAAGCAGGUCAUAGUGAUCCGGUGGUUCUGAAUGGAAGGGCCAUCGCUCAACGGAUAAAAGGUACUCCGGGGAUAACAGGCUGAUACCGCCCAAGAGUUCAUAUCGACGGCGGUGUUUGGCACCUCGAUGUCGGCUCAUCACAUCCUGGGGCUGAAGUAGGUCCCAAGGGUAUGGCUGUUCGCCAUUUAAAGUGGUACGCGAGCUGGGUUUAGAACGUCGUGAGACAGUUCGGUCCCUAUCUGCCGUGGGCGCUGGAGAACUGAGGGGGGCUGCUCCUAGUACGAGAGGACCGGAGUGGACGCAUCACUGGUGUUCGGGUUGUCAUGCCAAUGGCACUGCCCGGUAGCUAAAUGCGGAAGAGAUAAGUGCUGAAAGCAUCUAAGCACGAAACUUGCCCCGAGAUGAGUUCUCCCUGAGACUUAGAGUCUCCUGAAGGAACGUUGAAGACGACGACGUUGAUAGGCCGGGUGUGUAAGCGCAGCGAUGCGUUGAGCUAACCGGUACUAAUGAACCGUGAGGCUUAACCUU
rnacentral:rRNA from 4 species